rnacentral:tRNA from 1 species
GGGUAUAUAGCUCAAUGGUAGAGUGUGUGCUUAGCAUGCAUGGUCCUGGGUUCAAUCCCCAGUACCUCUG